UUUGCGACUAUGGCGAUAUUCCUUUACCUCUCUACGAUGUUCUUUUUUUCCUCAACGCCAAGGGACCCCUGACGGCUGGCAUCUUCUGGGUCCCUGGUGACAGUGACUCCUGCAAAGACAUUAUUGAAAAACUGGAUGCAGGAGUUGAAAUUGAUCUUGGGCGUGAAAAUCCCUAUGUCUUAGCAUGUGUGCUAAAGGAUUUUCUAAAAAACAUUCCGGAAAGCAUUU